AAAUGCGAUAAGUAAUGUGAAUUGCAGAAUUCAGUGAAUCAUCGAAUCUUUGAACGCACCUUGCGCUCCUUGGUAUUCCUUGGAGCAUGCCUGUUUGAGUAUCAUGAAAUCUUCAAAGUAAAUCUUUUGUUAACUCAAUUGGUUUCUACUUUGGUAUUGGAGGUCUUUGCAGCUUCACACCUGCUCCUCUUUGUUCAUUAGCUGGAUCUCAGUGUUAUGCUUGGUUCCACUCGGCGUGAUAAGUUAUGUAUCGCUGAGGACACUGUAAAAGGUGGCCAAGGUAAAUGCAGAUGAACCGCUUCUAAUAGUCCAUUGACUUGGACAAUACUUUUAUGAUCUGAUCUCAAAUCAGGUAGGACUACCCGCUGAACUUAAGC
rnacentral:misc_RNA from 1 species